UUGGAAUGGUGGGGAAGGGGCAGCCUGCAAACUGCCCCUUCCCCACUUCUCAGAAGAGUGCACCUUCUAAGGGGAAAUCAGCUUUUAGAGACUGUAUUAGUCACCUCUUCCAGACACCUGCUGAGACAGAGUCCACCCCAAAUCUGUCAUUGCCUGGGCCAUGAUGGGCAAGAGCUGGAGAUCCUGUAGGAAAUGCUGUAGCCAAAGGCUAUAGGAAGAAAGGUGAACCCUACCUGAACUCAGCCUGUCACCCCUGGGGCCAUCACACCUGGUCCUGCUUCCUGGUGGUGCGGCAGUAAGAUAUACAGGAUCCUGUGCUCAGAGGGGACCCGUGCACGGGGUUUAAUGAUCUGCAAUCACGGUCUUGAACUUAAAAUUUUAUCGCUGACCUUGUGGUUUGUAAGUGAAGUUCCAUGGGAUGAUGGAGUAUGUGCUAGGGGCUUGGAGCCUCACAGGAGGUCACAACUGCCCCUUCCCUGUCCCUUGGUCUCCUGGGGGACCCAGAUCUCCUUCUCAGCCCCUAUUGAGAAACCACUGACACCCUUUGCCCCCAGUGGGUCUGGCCCAGGUGACUUGGAGCAUCCCCAUCAACACAUACACACACAGAGUCUGAGGACAGGGCUCCCAAGCAUGGGUGCUGUGUUCCCAGUGAGGUCUGCAUGGAUCUCCCCAUUUUCCAUCUGAGGGGAGUAUACUCAUUAAAUAGCAAAUUUUAAAAAAUGUUGGGAGAGAGACCACAGAUAAAAAAGCAAAGCUUUUUCUCUCCGUUUUUUUUUUUUUUAAAGUUUUUAAUUUUUUUAUUCAUUCAUGAUAGUCACACAGAGAGAGAGAGAGAGGCAGAGACACAGGCAGAGGGAGAAGCAGGCUACAUGCAGGGAGCCCGACAUGGGAUUCGAUCCAGGGCCUCCAGGAUCGCGCCCUGGGCCAAAGACAGGCGCCAAACCGCUGCGCCACCCAGGGAUCCCUCUCUCCGUUUUGAAUACGGAAUUCUGCAUCUUUGUUUUGCACUGCCUCCCCCCGCUAUGAUAUUAGCAGCCCUGCCUCUGGCCAUAAUUCCCUCCCAUGUGGACAUCUCAUGUCAGCUGGAGAUGCUAGCCAGGUGGACAAGGUCAGGUUCCUGCAUUUCAGAGUUUUGUGUGUUACAAAGCAGAGGGCAAGCUCUCCUGUCAUUCCAGAGGCCAUGUGGAGUGCUACUGCAUCAUGUCGAUGCCAGAGCCCACCAUAGGCUGCUGAUUGACAGCUGCUCAAGGUGUGUGCACACUGGAGCCUACAUAGUUAUUGUUCUCCAGAAGACCACAGAAAUACGUCUAGAAAGGGUAUAAGGAAGUGCAAGAUUGGUAGCUGAAGUGUCCCCUAUCCAGAUCAGCAGGUAAAUCCUCAGUCAUCCAGGAAAGAAAGUACUUGCCCUUCUCCAUGUCCACCACCGUGACACCUUUGGCACGCUGCACUUCUACUGCCUCCGGGGAAAACCUUUUCUGGGCUGCAAAUGAACAAGUCAGCCCGUCCAAAGUGAUGUGGGAAAUGUGAGCCACAUCUGAUGUCUGGGACCUCUUCCUCUACCCAAAUCUGCGGCAGACAAUUUUCCACCCAUAAGAAGGAGACUCUCAUUUGAAAUUCCUGGUUACGUUUUCUUCUCCAUAAAGUGGGUCAUAGAUUCUAAGAAACACUGUUAUCACCUUAUUAAACACAUACCCAUAAGUUCUAAAAUCCGGGAUUGAAAGUUAGUACACGCACGGGAGCCCACAAUGUUUGCCCAUGAGAGUUCCAUAUUAUGACAAACACUCCCUACACUGGAGACUGUUUUUGUUUGUACGGUGAGAAAGGGGUUUGGAUGACAUGGAGGAUCUCACCAUUCCUAUCUGCAUCUUCUGAUGUGAUGAAUUACCCUUUGUUGUGAGAGUGUUGUAGUUCUUUGUUUUUUGCCAGAGACCAGUGUUCUAAAACACCUCAUGGGGCCCUGGCAGGCAAGAUUGUCUUUUGGGAUAGAGCAUAGUUGGGAUUUCAGAAAUCCUGUGACUUCAGAGUGUCAGGCUGGCCCAGGAAAAGGGCCAGACAGCUGUGGGGAAAGAAUCUAAGGGGGGAAAGAUAAUCAUCAGGAAAAUUAACAAAAGGCUUCAGAUUGUGUCAUAAUAACAGUUGCUGAAAAUGGUUAAAAUCACACAUGCUGUUAUUCCUUCUGGUUCAAACGCUCCCCUAAGACAGUGGAAUUAGUAACAAAGGACUCUCCUCCUCUCCUCCGAUUGAAGCUGGGCAGCAAGUUCAAGAUGUCUUGAAAGAAAGCGAGAAGAGAAGCUUCCCUUUCAGCCCUCAGGAACCUGCAAUCUCAUAGCAGAAACACCCUUGCCGGCGGGAUGCCAGAAGGCCACUCUCAGGAGGGGACCCUCGGUCUGUGGAUGGAAAAGACCUGAGUGUGCUGUCAGAUUGCCAUGAGACCAAGUGAAGAGUCACUCCAAGUGUGCAAAGGUGACAGUCACAAGGGCUAGAGAGCUGUGACCCGACCUCACUUAAUACGUGCCGUCCGCCCCGUAAUCACUGUCCAUCCAGGGGUGUGGCCCAGGAGGCGGUGACGCGUGGCAGGCCUCCUGUUUGCGGAGCGCUUCUGGCGUCAGGUGUAAAAUCACGGCCGGUGUGUCCAUUUCCCACCUUCCGCGGCGUGUACUACAAGGAAGGAUAAAUGCACACAUCUUUUUCUAUGUAGAUUUGACAGCUUAGCUCCCCACUGACUCUUGUUAAAAAUGAUUCGAAAUAGAGUCUUUCAGUGCUGCAAGAGGAGAAGGUUCUGGAGACCUGUUGCACAACACUGUGAAGUAGAUUGAAGGCUACUGAGACACAUACUUAAAAAUGACUCGGAUGGUGAGUCCAAUGCUAUGUGCUUCCUACCAUGAUAGAAAUGUAUAAAUCAUUAAACGUGUUAGAAAAAAAAUGACUCGAGCAUUUCAAGAAUAAAUCA